rnacentral:rRNA from 1 species
UACGGAGGAUGCGAGCGUUAUCCGGAUUUAUUGGGUCUAAAGGGUGCGUAGGCGGUCCGUUAAGUCAGCGGUAAAAUUGCGGGGCUCAACCCCGUCGAGCCGUUGAAACUGUCAGACUUGAGUUGGCGAGAAGUACGCGGAAUGCGCGGUGUAGCGGUGAAAUGCAUAGAUAUCGCGCAGAACUCCGAUUGCGAAGGCAGCGUACCGGCGCCACACUGACGCUGAGGCACGAAAGCGUGGGGAUCGAACAGG